rnacentral:miRNA from 1 species
AACAUUCAUUGCUGUCAGUGGGU